UCGACGAACUCUGGUAUUGAUUGGUGCUUGCAUCAUGAUUUACAUUUGAGUGAGUGGCGAACUGGUGAGUAACACGUGGGAAACCUGCCCAGAAGCGGGGGAUAACACCUGGAAACAGAUGCUAAUACCGCAUAACAACUUGGACCGCAUGGUCCGAGUUUGAAAGAUGGCUUCGGCUAUCACUUUUGGAUGGUCCCGCGGCGUAUUAGCUAGAUGGUGAGGUAACGGCUCACCAUGGCAAUGAUACGUAGCCGACCUGAGAGGGUAAUCGGCCACAUUGGGACUGAGACACGGCCCAAACUCCUACGGGAGGCAGCAGUAGGGAAUCUUCCACAAUGGACGAAAGUCUGAUGGAGCAACGCCGCGUGAGUGAAGAAGGGUUUCGGCUCGUAAAACUCUGUUGUUAAAGAAGAACAUAUCUGAGAGUAACUGUUCAGGUAUUGACGGUAUUUAACCAGAAAGCCACGGCUAACUACGUGCCAGCAGCCGCGGUAAUACGUAGGUGGCAAGCGUUGUCCGGAUUUAUUGGGCGUAAAGCGAGCGCAGGCGGUUUUUUAAGUCUGAUGUGAAAGCCUUCGGCUCAACCGAAGAAGUGCAUCGGAAACUGGGAAACUUGAGUGCAGAAGAGGACAGUGGAACUCC
rnacentral:rRNA from 2 species